rnacentral:rRNA from 1 species
UAAUACUAGGGGUGCGAGCGUUGUCCGGAAUCAUUGGGCGUAAAGGGUCCGUAGGCGUCUCAAUAAGUCACUUGUUAAAGACACCGGCUUAACCGGUGGCCUGCAUGUGAAACUGUUGAGAUAGAGUAUAGGAGAGGAAAGUGGAAUUCCUGGUGUAGCGGUGACAUGCGUAGAUAUCAGGAGGAACACCAAUGGCGAAGGCAACUUUCUGGCCUAUUACUGACGCUGAGGGACGAAAGCGUGGGGAGCAAACAGGAUUAGAUACCCUGGUAGUCCACGCCGUAAACGAUGAGUACUUGGUGUCGGGGGAUUCGACCCCUUCGGUACCGGAGCUAACGCAUUAAGUACUCCGCCUGGGAACUACGACCGCAAGGUUG